GACGAACGCUGGCGGCGUGCUUAACACAUGCAAGUCGAACGGAAAGGCCCCUUUGGGGGUCCUCGAGUGGCGGACGGGUGCGUAACACGUGGGUAACCUGCCCUUUACUUCGGGAUAACUUCAGGAAACUGGGGCUAAUACCGGUUAGGAAUCAUUCCUGCAUGGUGGGGGUUGGAAAGCUUGGGCGGGUUUGGAUGGACUCGCGGGGUAUCGGCUUGUUGGUGGGGUAGUGGCUUACCGAGGCGUUGACGGGUAGCCGGCCAGAGAGUGUGACCGGCGACACUGGGACUGAGAGAAGGCCCAGACGCGUACGGGAGGAAGAAGGGGGGAAGACUGAACAAUGGGCGGCAGCCUGAUGCAGAAACGCCGCGGGCGGGAUGACGGUUUUCGGGUUGAAAACCGGUUUCAGCAGGGGCGAAGCUUGUGGUGACGGUACCUGAAGAAGAAGCACCGGCUAACUACGUG
rnacentral:rRNA from 1 species